UGAGUAAGUCAGAUGGUCGCAAGUACAAGCUCGAAAGGGCGUACUUGAGGAACGUCCGAGCUCCAUAGAGCAGGGUGCUGGAUAACACCCAGUAGAGGCGACUCUAAGGAUAGUGCAACAGAAAUAAACCGCCUACUAUAUGUAGGUAAGGAUGGAAAGGUGAGGUAAGAGCUCACCGCACCUUAGGUGACUAAGGUGGCUCUGUAAACCCCACUUGGAGCAAGACCGCAUAGGGGAUGUGAAGUAGCUGCUCGCUAUAUUCCCGGGUAGGUCGCUGGAGCAUAUUAGGCAACUAUAUGCCAAGAUAGAUGACUGUCAAAUACAGAACUCGGCGUAAAGAUUUGCUCAUUUU
rnacentral:RNase_P_RNA from 1 species